rnacentral:rRNA from 1 species
GUAGUCAUAUGCUUGUCUCAAAGAUUAAGCCAUGCAUGUCUAAGUAUAAGCAAUUAUACCGCGAAACUGCGAAUGGCUCAUUAUAUAAGUUAUCGUUUAUUUGAUAGUACCUUACUACUUGGAUAACCGUGGUAAUCCUAGAGCUAAUACAUGCUAAAAAUCCCGACUUCGGAAGGGAUGUAUUUACUAGAUUAAAAACCAAUGCCCUUCGGGGCUCUCUGGUGAUUCAUGAUAACUUCUCGAAUCGCAUGGCCUUGCGCCGGCGAUGGUUCAUUCAAAUUUCUUCCCUAUCAACUUUCGAUGUUUGGGUAUUGGCCAAACAUGGUUGCAACGGGUAACGGGGAAU